GUAGAAUUCUGUGCCAGUCACAAGUGUCAUUGUGAUUCACCUAAAGAUGUUCUGCUGAAGAUCACCCAUCUACAUAUUGCUGAAUGGAGAGGAUUGGACACCUAUGAAGAUGAAUCAACCACAUUCAUGCUGUUGUUGAAUAUGAAGAACCAGCAUAAAAUAUGCUUACAGCAAUGGGAGGCAAUUCAAGAGGAAAUAGACUCAGAUGGAGUUCCCAUGGAAGAGGAAAACCAAACCACUAAAAAUGCUCACCCACCUUGCUAAUCCCACUGCAUUGCCAGAAAAUCCAUCCGCUGUGUCCAGCAAGCAGAUGUGAAAGACACAAGGAAAGAAAGUCACACCACAACUUCAUUUUGUUCCUGGAACUUUACGAUGAGCACUGCAAGCCACUUGCCUCUCAAUUGCAAAGGGACACAACACGGUGUUUGUGUAGCCACUGAACCUGAUCCUUCACCCACUUCUGGUUCUCCUAGUUUCUGCAGCAUGGAUCGGAGCAGUGGGAGGACAGAUACCAGGCACCAGGUCCUAUUUUCAUCAUCCAUGAGCAGAUGAGAAGCUUUGGAGUCUUACAUUUGAACAACUUUGAAACCUCGCUGACUCCUGCUGGAGUAUAACAUUGAAGGCAUGAAGAUCUUGAGAUACCUGCAGAGGUAUGUUUGAUUUGCAGCGUUGGUCCUGGAGGAAAGCGUGCUGUGAAAGUGCUCUGUACAAAGAAGCUGAAGAACUGCCAGAAGAAGUCACCUUUCUAUUUUCUAAUGCUAACACAGUUGCAAAUGGUCUGAGGUGCUCAACCUGGAGCACCCUUGAUUUAAAGAAAGGAGUGAGCUGCUCACAAGGCAUAUGGCAUUCUGCAUGGAGCAUCUUUGACUUCGGAGCUUACUCCCCUACUUGGUCUGCCUGAUUCUGGAUUUGUUAACUUUCCAGUGAACAUAAAGCUGCAACUGGAUUCCUGUAUGGGGUUAAGAAACAAAAAAACGCUAGAGAUAUCAAACUGAAAACUGUCUUACUAGUUUAUCUUGUGCCGGAAAUCCUAGGUUUACUUCACUAUGCUGUCCUGUGUUGGCUGGCCAGGUCCAGAAGCAGCAUUCCGCCAAAUGCAGCUGAUCAAGGAAUGCGUCAUGCAGGAGCAUCUGCUGGUAUCUCUCCUCCUUCUCUCAGAGUAGCUGUGCAGAAUCACAGUGGUAAGCCACAGUCUCACUUAAAGCUGCCUGGCUGCUCAGCUGCCAACAUCUACCAAAUAAUGCAGACAGGAGGAUCCUGGACAAGCCUGUGAAGCUUAGCAGUGCUUCCUCCAUGCUACCUGACAGCUCUUUGAAAAUGAAUCAGCCAACAAGAACCCAAUGAAUUAUAGGAUGCAGCAGGAAGAAUAAUGGGAGCUUGACCCAGAAUACUAAUUUUCUACCCAGUACUGGCAGGUAUCCCACAAUCCACUGUGAAAAGCAUUGAGAAUGUAUAAAGCCUAUUAGCAGUGCUUUGAA